rnacentral:rRNA from 1 species
AUUGAACGCUGGCGGCAUGCCUUACACAUGCGAGUCGAACGGUAACAGGUCUUCGGAUGCUGACGAGUGGCGAACGGGUGAGUAAUACAUCGGAACGUGCCUAGUAGUGGGGGAUAACUACUCGAAAGAGUGGCUAAUAUCGCAUGAGAUCUACGGAUGAAAGCAGGGGAUCGCAAGACCUUGUGCUACUAGAGCGGCCGAUGGCAGAUUAGGUAGUUGGUGGGAUAAAAGCUUACCAAGCCGACGAUCUGUAGCUGGUCUGAGAGGACGAUCAGCCACACUGGGACUGAGACACGGCCCAGACUCCUACGGGAGGCAGCAGUGGGGAAUUUUGGACAAUGGGCGCAAGCCUGAUCCAGCAAUGCCGCGUGCAGGAUGAAGGCCUUCGGGUUGUAAACUGCUUUUGUACGGAGCGAAAAGCCCUGGGUUAAUACCCUGGGGUCAUGACGGUACCGUAAGAAUAAGCACCGGCUAACUACGUGCCAGCCGCCGCCGUAA